rnacentral:rRNA from 1 species
CCUACGGGGGGCUGCAGUAGGGAAUAUUGCGCAAUGGAGGAAACUCUGACGCAGCGACGCCGCGUGGGCGAUGAAGGCUUUCGGGUCGUAAAGCCCUGUCGGAAGAGAAGAAAAAUCCUGUGGCUAAUAUCCACAGGACUUGACGGUACCUUCAGAGGAAGCACCGGCUAACUACGUGCCAGCAGCCGCGGUAAUACGUAGGGUGCAAGCGGUGUUAGAGAGCAUGGGGCUGGUCGCGCGUGUAGGGGGUGAAAGCCCCGGGCUCAACCUGGGAAGUGCAUCCGAAACUAGUUGACUAGAAGACAGUAGAGGAAGGUGGAAUUCCAAGUGUAGAGGUGAAAUUCGUAGAUAUUUGGAGGAAUACCGGCGGCGAAGGCGGCCUUCUGGGCUGUUCUUGACACUGAGACGCGAAAGCGUGGGUAGCAAACAGGAUUAGAUACCCUAGUAGUC